CAGUCACCAUUGUUUGUCAAUUAUUUCUUCACAAUGUCUAUUGAAGGAUCUCAUCACGUUUAGAGAGCUGUGGUCGUGCCCCCUAAAGUGAAUUUGGAGGUUUUAUACCC
ensembl:snoRNA